GACAGAGGCCUCGAGCGUUAGGCGGAAUCACUGGGCUUAAAGCGUGUGUAGGCGGGCCCGUAAGUGUCUUGUGAAAUCCCACGGCUCAACCGUGGAACUGCUGGGCAUACUGCGGGUCUUGGACCAACUAGGGGCAGCCGGAACAAGCGGUGGAGCGGUGAAAUGCGUAGAUAUCGCUUGGAACGCCGAAGGUGAAAACAGGCUGCUGGGGUUGCGCCGACGCUGAGACACGAAAGCCAGGGGAGCAAACGGG
rnacentral:rRNA from 1 species